GUGCUGGGAAUCCUGAUGUUUACAGAGCAAGCACUUUCAUCCAUUGGGCCAUCUCCCCAACCAGAGAAAGUUCUAGGUGAUAACAGCCCAUCCUGGUGGGGAAGACAUGGCAGCAGAAGUAAGAAACAGUUGCUCACACUGCAUGCCCGGUCACGAAGCAGAGAAUGAACAGGAAGUGGAUCUGGGCUAUGAAACCGCAAGGCCUGCUGAGUGGUUGGUUGUGCCUUCAAUCCCAGCACUCGGGAGGAAGAGGUAGAAGGUUUGCCCUGAGUUCAAGGCCACCCUGAGACGCCAUAGUGAAUUCCAGGUCAGCCUGGGCUAGAGUGAGACCCUAUCUCAAAAAGCAAAAAAAAAGUUAUUAAAUAAAUAAAUAAGUAAACCUCAUAGCCCACCCCCAUGACCCAGGAGGCUCCACUUCCUAGAGCCUCCACAUCCUUCCCAAACUGUGUUACUAGCUGGGGACCAAGUGUGAAGACACACGAACCAAUGGGACAUUCCACACUGAAAUCACACCACCACUUGAAGCUGUGUUCUGCCUUGAACAUCUUUA